GAUUGCGAUCAUACCAUUGUUAAUGCAUCAGAUCCCAUCAAAACUCCACAGUUAAGUGGGCUUGGGCUAAAGUAGUACUGGGAUGGGUUGUGGGCAGAGGCGGCGUGGGCG
rfam:Picea glauca, whole genome shotgun sequence.